CAUAAACCCUAUAUUUUCACAUUUUCCUUCCCAAUUUGUCCUCAUCUCCUAUUACAUCUCCGUAUAUCUACAUCAGUUUCUUCAUCUGAAGAGUUGCCUUUCAAUCUUUGAAUCUCUACAGCCACGAAUCUCUACAGCCACGUGUUCUGAAUUGAAGGCCACAUUGAAUUUGAUUUAGUGUUCCAAAUUGAAGGCCGAUUGAAUAUGCUCAGAACAUGGUCGCUUCAGAUUCUAAGGGAAAUUGAAUGCGGGCGUUCAAGGCUUGGAACGUUUGGGAUUAAAGCUGAAAUUGCAAUCAUAUAUUCAUCACACAUUUUUUCUCCACUCCUAUGUGAAACCUUCUGACUCUCAAGGUUGAAGAUUCAAUGUGUGCGGCGGUGGUGGUUGUGUUGGUCGUUCACUGAUUCAAGAUAAUUCCACCCAAAUUCUCCGUUUAGGGUUUAGUUACCUCUCGCUCGGGUGCGUUUUGAUGAUAAUUGCCUUCUGGGAGCACUAAAUACACUUAUUCAUGAUAGUGGCUUUGGUAGAGGAAAACUUGUGUGUCCUUUUUGUUUAGGUACUGGUUUACCCAAAAAUAAAAGGGCUUCUUCUGAGGCUUGAUGCCAAAGAGUUGCUGAAUAAGAUGUAUAAUGGGUGGUUAGAUCCAAACUCAAAGUAUACUCACGUGACCCAGCCAACACCAUGCAAUAAUGUUAAAAUCAAAAACCAGUGGAAGCUAUAGAUUUGAACCCGAGACCUCUGCUAAGGGAACUCCUUACCACUGUGCCGCCCCCUAGAAGGCUAUAUAUAUCGUUGGUCUAUUUGACCCUAAAAAGUCAAAUUUUACUCUAGGGAAUAGCGGUUGCGCGCAUUUUAUUUUUGAUAUUAUCUCUUUCUUCUUCACAUGUAGCAUAGGCUCCAAGGUUACUCUUGAAUACGGUGUGUAAGCCUGCAAAAACUUGCAUAUAUAGAAGCCACUCUAGAUACAUUUUUAACUUGAGGAUAGGUGAACUGCUGAUACUUUUCUAAAAAUUUUGAGGACUAGCUUUGGCCUUUGAUAGUUCAUAUGAUUCUGCAGUUAAAGAACGAGAAUUUGUUGUGAUUACAUGGUUUUCACAUUUUGGGCAAUGAAUUCACUCAUUUAAAGGGACUCCAUAUGAGAAAAAACUAAUCUUUACAAGGGUAUUUAUGUCCAUAUAACACUUGCCAUUAAAGUGUAGAAGUUUAUCCACUUUUGACAUGGUUUUCGGUUAUCCACUUUUGGUUCUCCUGUGAAAAUAGGUCCACCUUGACAAGGGUGGUAAUAUGGAGUUAGUGGGACCCGGAGUUACGGUAGCGGCAGUUGGGUCGCCUGUGGUUUUGUUCGUGAUACAUCUUCGGUUUCGUCUUUGCCUAAAGACUACGAAUGAUUAAGAACCAAGAAUUCGCUGCCCGAUCACAGGCUUGAAACUGGGUUUUUAUAAAGUGCGCCUAAGGCGGCGGCAUUGUUCUUGUGGUUGCAAAGAAAGCUCAUAGUCUUUUUGUUAGUGGAGCAAGUAUAGUUGCCAAGGUUACAAGGGACCAUGCGUUGCAAAACUAUAACUUUGAUGAAACUGCUGAAAAUAUGCAUAGAAACUUUGGAUCUGGGUAUCCCGGAGAUCCCAGCACUAAAGGUUGGUUAGAACAUCACAAGCACUCGGUAUUUGGUUUCCCAUCAUUGGUUCGCUUCAGUUGGGAUACAUGUGAAUCCUACUUCAAAGGUGGUGUUGAAGUGUUAUCGAUUCGCUGCCCGAUCACAGUCUUUUACGCUAGGUUUAAUAUAUGUCAAAAAAUAGGAACACCUUUUUAGAGUAGUUUAUAAAAGUAUUUGGGCUAAACAUAUAGAUAAGGCGGUUCAAACCUAUGCUCGACCUGCUUACCCAUGUGUUUCUUGGUUCGAAUCGAAACCUAAAUCCCUGCGUCUAAUAUGAAAUAAUGAACGGAACAAUUUUACUACCUCUCAUAAAAUAUUCAUUGAACAUGGGUGCCCACCCUUUUAUUAUUCUUUAUUAUGUUGACUA